CAUUAGCCCCGAUUGCAGCGACAUCCUUUUUUUGCGAUGGCUUGAAAAAAGCAAAGGCAAAAAAGAUAUAGCGGAAAGCGGGAAAUAGC
rfam:Chryseobacterium sp. IHB B 10212 strain IHBB 10212, complete genome.